UACGUAGGUGGCAAGCGUUGUCCGGAUUUACUGGGCGUAAAGAGCGCGCAGGCGGUCGUUCAAGUCGCGUGUGAAAGCCCCCGGCUCAACUGGGGAGGGUCACGCGAUACUGACUCGACUCGAAGGCAGGAGAGGGUAGUGGAAUUCCCGGUGUAGUGGUGAAAUGCGUAGAUAUCGGGAGGAACACCAGUGGCGAAGGCGGCGAUCUGGGAAGAUACUGACGCUGAGGUGCGAAAGCCAGGGGAGCAAACGGG
rnacentral:rRNA from 1 species